GGGUUGUGAGGUUAAGCGACUAAGCGUACACGGUGGAUGCCCUGGCAGUCAGAGGCGAUGAAGGACGUGCUAAUCUGCGAAAAGCGUCGGUAAGGUGAUAUGAACCGUUAUAACCGGCGAUGUCCGAAUGGGGAAACCCAGUGCAAUUCGUUGCACUAUCGUUAACUGAAUACAUAGGUUAACGAGGCGAACCGGGGGAACUGAAACAUCUAAGUACCCCGAGGAAAAGAAAUCAACCGAGAUUCCCCCAGUAGCGGCGAGCGAACGGGGAGCAGCCCAGAGUCUGAAUCAGCUUGUGUGUUAGUGGAACGGUCUGGAAAGUCCGACGGUACAGGGUGAUAGUCCCGUACACCAAAAUGCACAGGUUGUGAACUCGAAGAGUAGGGCGGGACACGUGGUAUCCUGUCUGAAUAUGGGGGGACCAUCCUCCAAGGCUAAAUACUCCUGACUGACCGAUAGUGAACCAGUACCGUGAGGGAAAGGCGAAAAGAACCCCGGCGAGGGGAGUGAAAAAGAACCUGAAACCGUGUACGUACAAGCAGUGGGAGCACCUUCGGGUGUGACUGCGUACCUUUUGUAUAAUGGGUCAGCGACUUAUAUUCUGUAGCAAGGUUAACCGUAUAGGGGAGCCGCAGGGAAACCGAGUCUUAACUGGGCGUUAAGUUGCAGGGUAUAGACCCGAAACCCGGUGAUCUAGCCAUGGGCAGGUUGAAGGUUGGGUAACACUAACUGGAGGACCGAACCGACUAAUGUUGAAAAAUUAGCGGAUGACUUGUGGCUGGGGGUGAAAGGCCAAUCAAACCGGGAGAUAGCUGGUUCUCCCCGAAAGCUAUUUAGGUAGCGCCUCGUGAACUCAUCUUCGGGGGUAGAGCACUGUUUCGGCUAGGGGGUCAUCCCGACUUACCAACCCGAUGCAAACUACGAAUACCGAAGAAUGUUAUCACGGGAGACACACGGCGGGUGCUAACGUCCGUCGUGAAGAGGGAAACAACCCAGACCGCCAGCUAAGGUCCCAAAGUCAUGGUUAAGUGGGAAACGAUGUGGGAAGGCACAGACAGCCAGGAUGUUGGCUUAGAAGCAGCCAUCAUUUAAAGAAAGCGUAAUAGCUCACUGGUCGAGUCGGCCUGCGCGGAAGAUGUAACGGGGCUAAACCAUGCACCGAAGCUGCGGCAGCGACACUAUGUGUUGUUGGGUAGGGGAGCGUUCUGUAAGCCUGCGAAGGUGACCUGUGAGGGUUGCUGGAGGUAUCAGAAGUGCGAAUGCUGACAUAAGUAACGAUAAAGCGGGUGAAAAGCCCGCUCGCCGGAAGACCAAGGGUUCCUGUCCAACGUUAAUCGGGGCAGGGUGAGUCGACCCCUAAGGCGAGGCCGAAAGGCGUAGUCGAUGGGAAACAGGUUAAUAUUCCUGUACUUGGUGUUACUGCGAAGGGGGGACGGAGAAGGCUAUGUUAGCCGGGCGACGGUUGUCCCGGUUUAAGCAUGUAGGCUGGUUAUCUAGGCAAAUCCGGAUAAUCAAGGCUGAGGUGUGAUGACGAGGCACUACGGUGCUGAAGUAACAAAUGCCCUGCUUCCAGGAAAAGCCUCUAAGCAUCAGGUAACAUCAAAUCGUACCCCAAACCGACACAGGUGGUCAGGUAGAGAAUACCAAGGCGCUUGAGAGAACUCGGGUGAAGGAACUAGGCAAAAUGGUGCCGUAACUUCGGGAGAAGGCACGCUGGUGUGUAGGUGAAGCCCCUGCGGGUGGAGCUGAGACCAGUCGAAGAUACCAGCUGGCUGCAACUGUUUAUUAAAAACACAGCACUGUGCAAACACGAAAGUGGACGUAUACGGUGUGACGCCUGCCCGGUGCCGGAAGGUUAAUUGAUGGGGUUAUCCGUAAGGAGAAGCUCUUGAUCGAAGCCCCGGUAAACGGCGGCCGUAACUAUAACGGUCCUAAGGUAGCGAAAUUCCUUGUCGGGUAAGUUCCGACCUGCACGAAUGGCGUAAUGAUGGCCAGGCUGUCUCCACCCGAGACUCAGUGAAAUUGAACUCGCUGUGAAGAUGCAGUGUACCCGCGGCAAGACGGAAAGACCCCGUGAACCUUUACUAUAGCUUGACACUGAACAUUGAGCCUUGAUGUGUAGGAUAGGUGGGAGGCUUUGAAGCGUGGACGCCAGUCUGCGUGGAGCCAACCUUGAAAUACCACCCUUUAAUGUUUGAUGUUCUAACGUUGGCCCCUGACCGGGGUUGCGGACAGUGUCUGGUGGGUAGUUUGACUGGGGCGGUCUCCUCCCAAAGCGUAACGGAGGAGCACGAAGGUUAGCUAAUCCUGGUCGGACAUCAGGAGGUUAGUGCAAUGGCAUAAGCUAGCUUGACUGCGAGCGUGACGGCGCGAGCAGGUGCGAAAGCAGGUCAUAGUGAUCCGGUGGUUCUGAAUGGAAGGGCCAUCGCUCAACGGAUAAAAGGUACUCCGGGGAUAACAGGCUGAUACCGCCCAAGAGUUCAUAUCGACGGCGGUGUUUGGCACCUCGAUGUCGGCUCAUCACAUCCUGGGGCUGAAGUAGGUCCCAAGGGUAUGGCUGUUCGCCAUUUAAAGUGGUACGCGAGCUGGGUUUAGAACGUCGUGAGACAGUUCGGUCCCUAUCUGCCGUGGGCGCUGGAGAAUUGAGGGGGGCUGCUCCUAGUACGAGAGGACCGGAGUGGACGCAUCACUGGUGUUCGGGUUGUCAUGCCAAUGGCACUGCCCGGUAGCUAAAUGCGGAAGAGAUAAGUGCUGAAAGCAUCUAAGCACGAAACUUGCCCCGAGAUGAGUUCUCCCUGAGACUUUAAGUCUCCUGAAGGAACGUUAAAGACGAUGACGUUGAUAGGCCGGGUGUGUAAGCGCAGCGAUGCGUUGAGCUAACCGGUACUAAUGAACCGUGAGGCUUAACCUUACAACGCCGAAG
rnacentral:rRNA from 1 species